rnacentral:rRNA from 1 species
GAUGAACGCUGGCGGCGUGCCUAAUACAUGCAAGUCGAGCGAACGGACGAGAAGCUUGCUUUUCUGAUGUUAGCGGCGGACGGGUGAGUAACACGUGGAUAACCUACCUAUAAGACUGGGAUAACUUCGGGAAACCGGAGCUAAUACCGGAUAAUAUUUUGAACCGCAUGGUUCAAAAGUGAAAGACGGUCUUGCUGUCACUUAUAGAUGGAUCCGCGCUGCAUUAGCUAGUUGGUAAGGUAACGGCUUACCAAGGCAACGAUGCAUAGCCGACCUGAGAGGGUGAUCGGCCACACUGGAACUGGGACACGGUCCAGACCCCUACGGGAGGAAGAAGUAGGGAAUCUUCCGCAAUGGGCGAAAGCCUGACGGAGAAACGCCGCGUGAGUGAGGAAGGUCUUCGGAUCUUAAAACUCUGUUAUUAGGGAAGAACAUAUGUGUAAGUAACUGUGCACAUCUUGACGGUACCUAAUCAGAAAGCCACGGCUAACUACGUG